UAAACGACUCUCGGCAACGGAUAUCUCGGCUCUCGCAUCGAUGAAGAACGUAGCGAAAUGCGAUACUUGGUGUGAAUUGCAGAAUCCCGUGAACCAUCGAGUCUUUGAACGCAAGUUGCGCCCGAAGCCGUUAGGCCGAGGGCACDUCUGCCUGGGCGUCACA
rnacentral:rRNA from 1 species